GCCGAUACUUACAAAUGGCGUCAAAACAAUGUUAUCCUUAAUUAUUUAAUGAAGUCCGUCGUCAUUACUUAAUGAAUAGAUAAGUUGAUACUAUGUUGAGAUAUUUUGGAUCUACAAGAUAACAAUGAACAUUCACAUACUGUGAAUUCUUUGAAAUCAGCCAGAUUUUUUUCGGCGCUUUUGAGAAAGUGAAACUUCGCUGCCCCAGCUGUCACUGGUAAGUUCCAUAAACAUCACGUUCAACACGAGACGAGAGGUCGACCGAACUGGGAAGAUAAAAAUGAUGGCUAAUCAUACCGAAAACCGGAUAAUGUAUUCAUAUUACGGUCAGUCAUUGGAGGAAGCCGACUUACCCUUCGUUGCCAAGAUUCGACAGACUAACAUGAUUGUGUUACUCGUUGGGACGUUCCUGAUGUCCGUUUUCGGCAUUCCGGGCAACGUCCUCUCCAUCGUGGUACUACAGCGCCAAGUACUGCGUGACGCUACGUCGACCGCCUACCUCAUCAGCCUCUCCUUCUUCAACAUCAUCACCCUCAUCUUCGCCAUGGCUCGCCACUUCGCCAAGGCUCUGGUCGGUACGGAUAUCCCCUGGUACAGCCCUAUCGCCUGCGGAAUAGUGCGCUGGUUGACCCUAUGUCCUUAUCAUUGUUGUCAGCUGGCAUCUCGUUCUCAUCUCCACGAUGAGGUUGCUAUUUAUUUCAAAAAGAACGCAUUGUCGUUUCUUGACAAAUACAACUCCACUAACCCAUCUAGUAGUUUUGUGUUUAUCUGUGGGAAUCAUUGUGGCAGUGAUUGUGUUCAAAGCUGUUAAUUUCGUAGAUCAUGAAGGGUAUGCCAUAAUGUGUGAGCUCAGUGUCAAUGUUUGGGCAUGGAUGCAGUUCGUCCUGACGUCAAUCGCUCCCACGUUGCUGCUGUUUUGUUUUAAAUGGUAUGCUGGUGUUCAAACACCACUCACCGAAAGCGGGCAUGAUGUUAAAUAAGUCGACACUAAAAGUCCGCGCCCAGAUGAAACUCCUCGUCGUCAUCUCCAACAUCGCCUUCAUCGUCUCCCUUAUUCCCAUGGGCGUGUUUCCACGUCGUGGCCAAGAAGGUCUUCCCAAACACGUCUCGGGGGCACGCUCAGAGGGAACUCGGCAACGACUCCGUGGUGCUGCUGAUGUAUAUGAACAACGCCAGUAAUUUCCUCAUCUACUGUUUCUUCGGCAAGAGUUCCGCCAGGAGCUGAGCAAGCUUUUGUUUGGUACGCGAACUAAACACCCAUCACUUGGUGGGGAAUCGACUGAAAAUCCAGCAACUGCGAAAAACGUUUCUGUGGAUCCCGCAGACGACAAGCGGAAUUCAUCUGAAGAAAGUGAAAUGGCGAAUUUUUUCACGAUGUACACGGAAACUCUUACCACUGAAAUUCGGAGAAAGUCGAAAAUUCCCGUGGGUUCGGGGAUCGACUGAUUUCCGUCUGUCCCCCGCUGAUCCCUGACCCCUGACUCCUGACCCCUGACUCCUACCUUAGACCAAACAAGGACAUGAGCACCACAAACCUGAGGAAUAUCGUCGCAAGUGAAGGCGAUAGACACUCCAUUUCUGCUGCGGUGAUAGCUGAUCAAGCAAAGCGAGCUUUCUGCAGGUUUUCUGCAAGUUUUCUGCAAGUUUUCUGCAAGUUUUCAAGACAUU